rnacentral:rRNA from 1 species
CCUACGGGGUGCAGCAGUGGGGGAUAUUGCACAAUGGGGGGAACCCUGAUGCAGCGACGCCGCGUGGGUGAAGAAGCGCCUCGGCGCGUAAAGCCCUGUCAGCAGGGAAGAAAAUGACGGUACCUGCAGAAUAAACCCCGGCUAACUACGUGCCAGCAGCCGGGGUAAUACGUAGGGGGCAAGCGUUAUCCGGAUUUACUGGGUGAAAAGGGGGCGCAGACGGCGAUGCAAGCCAGAAGUGAAAGCCCGGGGCGCAACCCCGGGAGUGCUCUUGGAACUGCGUGGCUGGAGUGCAGGAGGGGAAGGCGGAAUUCCUGGUGUAGCGGUGAAAUGCGUAGAUAUCAGGAGGAACACCGGUGGCGAAGGCGGCCUGCUGGACUGCAACUGACGUUGAGGCCCGAAAGCGUGGGGAGCAAACAGGAUUAGAUACCCUUGUAGUC